rnacentral:tRNA from 1 species
GCCUUCGUGGUGUAGUGGUCAACACGCUGGGCACGUAUUCCAGAGGUCCGAGGUUCGAGUCUCAGCGAAGACG